UAGCGACAGUACCGUGAGGGAAGAUGAAAAGAACUUUGAAAAGAGAGUUAAACAGUACGUGAAAUUGUUGAAAGGGAAACGAUUGAAGUCAGUCAUACCAACGGGAAAUCAACCUUUUGAGCUUGGUCUCGUGGGUUUUGAAGAGUUUCAAAGCCUUCGGAUUCGCUAGAUUGGGAUCUCUUGGUGUACUUUUUCGUACGGUUAGUCAACAUCGGUUUUGAAUGUCAUAAAAUGACUGGAGGAAUG
rnacentral:rRNA from 1 species